rnacentral:rRNA from 1 species
AAGACCUUGCGCUUUUGGAGCGGCCGAUGCCUGAUUAGCUUGUUGGUAAGGUAAAGGCUUACCAAGGCUUCGAUCAGUAGCUGGUCUGAGAGGACGGCCAGCCACACUGGGACUGAGACACGGCCCAGACUCCUACGGGAGGCAGCAGUGGGGAAUUUUGGACAAUGGGGGAAACCCUGAUCCAGCCAUGCCGCGUGAGUGAAGAAGGCCUUCGGGUUGUAAAGCUCUUUCAGCCGGGACGAAACGGUUACGGAUAAUACCCGUGACUACUGACGGUACCGGAAGAAGAAGCACCGGCUAACUACGUGCCAGCAGCCGCGGUAAUACGUAGGGUGCGAGCGUUAAUCGGAAUUACUGGGCGUAAAGCGUGCGCAGGUGGUUUUGUAAGUCAGAUGUGAAAGCCCCGGGCUCAACCUGGGAACU